rnacentral:rRNA from 1 species
ACUCUCGUGAGAGUAGCUGAAGGUACUAUACGAAUAAGCACCCGGCUAACUCCGUGCCAGCAGCCGCGGUAAUACGGAGGGUGCAAGCGUUWUCCGGAUUUAUUGGGUUUAAAGGGUCCGUAGGCGGAUCUGUAAGUCAGUGGUGAAAUCUCACAGCUUAACUGUGAAACUGCCAUUGAUACUGCAGGUCUUGAGUGUUAUUGAAGUAGCUGGAAUAAGUAGUGUAGCGGUGAAAUGCAUAGAUAUUACUUAGAACACCAAUUGCGAAGGCAGGUUACUAAGCAACAACUGACGCUGAUGGACGAAAGCGUGGGGAGCGAACAGGAUUAGAUACCCUGGUAGUCCACGCCGUAAACGAUGCUAACUCGUUUUUGGUAUUUCGGUAUCAGAGACUAAGCGAAAGUGAUAAGUUAGCCACCUGGGGAGUACGUUCGCAAGAAUGAAACUCAAAGGAAUUGACGGGGGCCCGCACAAGCGGUGGAUUAUGUGGUUUAAUUCGAUGAUACGCGAGGAACCUUACCAAGGCUUAAAUGGGAAAUGACAGGUUUAGAAAUAGACUUUUCUUCGGACAUUUUUCAAGGUGCUGCAUGGUUGUCGUCAGCUCGUGCCGUGAGGUGUUAGGUUAAGUCCUGCAACGAGCGCAACCCCUGUCACUAGUUGCCAUCAUUAAGUUGGGGACUCUAGUGAGACUGCCUACGCAAGUAGAGAGGAAGGUGGGGAUGACGUCAAAUCAUCACGGCCCUUACGCCUUGGGCCACACACGUAAUACAAUGGCCGGUACAGAGGGCAGCUACACAGCGAUGUGAUGCAAAUCUCGAAAGCCGGUCUCAGUUCGGAUUGGAGUCUGCAACUCGACUCUAUGAAGCUGGAAUCGCUAGUAAUCGCGCAUCARCCAUGGCGCGGUGAAUACGUUCCCGGGCCUUGUMCACACCGCCCGUCAAGCCAUGGAAGUCUGGGGUACCUGAAGUCGGUGACCGUAACAGGAGCUGCCU